rnacentral:rRNA from 1 species
UGGGGAAUAUUGCACAAUGGGCGAAAGCCUGAUGCAGCAACGCCGCGUGAGUGAUGAAGGCCUUCGGGUUGUAAAGCCCUGUCUUUUGGGACGAUAAUGACGGUACCAAAGGAGGAAGCCACGGCUAACUACGUGCCAGCAGCCGCGGUAAUACGUAGGUGGCAAGCGUUGUCCGGAUUUACUGGGCGUAAAGGAUGCGUAGGCGGAUUUUUAAGUGAGAUGUGAAAUACCCGGGCUUAACUUGGGUGCUGCAUUUCAAACUGGGAAUCUAGAGUGCGGGAGAGGAGAAUGGAAUUCCUAGUGUAGCGGUGAAAUGCGUAGAGAUUAGGAAGAACACCAGUGGCGAAGGCGAUUCUCUGGACCGUAACUGACGCUGAGGCAUGAAAGCGUGGGUAGCAAACAGGAUUAGAUACCCUGGUAGUCCACGCCGUAAACGAUGAGUACUAGGUGUAGGAGGUAUCGACCCCUUCUGUGCCGCAGUUAACACAAUAAGUACUCCGCCUGGGAAGUACGAUCGCAAGAUUAAAACUCAAAGGAAUUGACGGGGUC